AGCAAGAAGGUUUUGGUGCACUUGAUUUUAUUCAAUUUUCUGCUAACUGUGAGUUGUAGAAGAUUAUUUGGAACUACUUAAACUUUGCUUCAUCGAUUUGUUUCGGACCUAUUUCGCCAAGUUCUUUCUCACCAUUGCGUUCAUCAACAUUACAGCAUUGACCAUUCUUCAGACGUACUACUCUCUCACCAGUUUCAAUACGGUACAAUUUUUAAAAUACGCUCCUGUUUAUUUCGGACGCUUUCACGCAUUCAUAUGUUUGUGUUUCAUCUUGCAUUAUAUACAUGUUACGGACAAGUUGUUUGAAAAUGUUCCCCGGUGGAGUUAUACCACUAUUGGAAAAAAGUAUGAUAACGAGGUUAAGAGAAACGCCCUGUAUACAAACAUCUUGGUCGCUUGCAUUGCGAUAGCAGGUUUUGGGAGUGGUGUUCUUUAUGCAAUGCCAACUGAAAAAGACAACGAGAUUUUCUUCAUUAUGACUUGGUUCGAAGACAAUUUAUUGGAAUGGGCUGAUAUUUUAUCUUUGUGUCAUCGAAUGAGUUUUAUUUUUGUUUCUGUGAUAAUGCAAGCACCGUGUAUCCAAAUUUGCUACACGAUAAAACAUUCCCAAUAUCAGUUAGGCAUCUUAAAAAGCAUCCUAGAAAAUAUACAUCAAGGAUUUGAUAAUUUGGACGAACUCGUUUACGACGAUAAUUUUCACAAAGAAAUAAAAAAAAGAUUAGUGUUUUGUAUUAAACGGCACAUUAAUCUCAUUCUAGUAGGGAGGAAAAUGGUGAGAGACACUGGUAUUUUUGUGCCUUUUCUUUCCAUUAGUGGAGGAAUGUUGGGUAUAAGUCUAAUGAUGUUUUUCUAUGUGAUUGAGGAUACAUCAACUUUUGUGAUUGUGCGUCUUUGUGGUUUGAUUUUUGUGGCUACGGUAACAGGGAUGUUAUACAUAAUACAAGGUCAAAACAUUCAAGAUAUUAGCGAAGAGUGUUUUCAAACUGUAACCCAAAUGGACUGGUAUUACUGGAAUAAAGAAAAUAAAAAAAUCUAUCAGAUUAUGUUUCUUAAUUCUUUUGAGCCAUUUACAAUCAGAUUUUCAGAGAAUCUGGCAGUAAAUUACGAAUUAGGAAUAGAGUUGGCAAAAGCUGUAUAUUCCAUGAUGUCAUUUAUGAAUUAUGUUUCUGAUUACAUGAAAACAUAGGUAACAACAAAAAGUCAUUUGUAACCUUUUUUACACCAAACAAUGUAAUAAAAUAUAGCACC